rnacentral:lncRNA from 1 species
GCACCCUGGAUCUUUUACUUUAAGCGGAUAAUUCCUCGGAGGUUGAAUCUCAAAUUCCUACUCAUCAUCAUCUUCAUCUAAAUCUAUCAUAUCUCCAAGAUAAAAUUUCAUUCUUGCAGGUUUCUGUUUAAUAAUUGAAGGCAUAAUAGUCAUUUGAUUAUAAAUUUCUUUGUUCUGCUCAUUAUGACUAUCUCGUGCUUCCUCUUCUUCUUCUCCUCCACUGCUGCUACUACUCUCAAUGGCUUCACCUUCCUCCUUUUCAUCACUGCUUCCAAUCUCUACAGCUUCCCUGUCAGCACUUCCUCCAUCACUUGUCACCACAACUUUGCAUACUUCUUUAGGGUUAACAUCAGUAUUAGCCCUAAACUGGUUCUUUUCAGUGGUUUCUACUCUUUUUGACAGCUAUCCAAUUUGCAUCUCUAAUGACCUAACAAUAGCUUGAUCACUUGCUCGAUUGGACUCAUAGACUUUCAUGAAUGUAUCAAAUCUUUCACUCAUAUUUUUGACAAACUCUGUUAAAUGUGAAACCUGUUGCCACAUAGUUAAAGGUUGUUGCUGCCUGAAGCCUCA